rnacentral:rRNA from 1 species
UGAUCCUGGCUCAGAACGAACGCUGGCGGCAGGCCUAACACAUGCAAGUCGAGCGCGCCUUCGGGUGAGCGGCGGACGGGUUAGUAACGCGUGGGAACGUACCCUUCUCUACGGAAUAGCCUUUGGAAACGAAGAGUAAUACCGUAUACGCCCUUUGGGGGAAAGAUUUAUCGGAGAAGGAUCGGCCCGCGUUAGAUUAGAUAGUUGGUGGGGUAACGGCCUACCAAGUCUACGAUCUAUAGCUGGUUUUAGAGGAUGAUCAGCAACACUGGGACUGAGACACGGCCCAGACUCCUACGGGAGGCAGCAGUGGGGAAUCUUAGACAAUGGGCGCAAGCCUGAUCUAGCCAUGCCGCGUGAGUGAUGAAGGCCUUAGGGUCGUAAAGCUCUUUCGCCUGUGAUGAUAAUGACAGUAGCAGGUAAAGAAACCCCGGCUAACUCCGUGCCAGCAGCCGCGGUAAUACGGAGGGGGUUAGCGUUGUUCGGAAUUACUGGGCGUAAAGCGCACGUAGGCGGAUUGGAAAGUUGGGGGUGAAAUCCCGGGGCUCAACCCCGGAACUGCCUCCAAAACUAUCAGUCUAGAGUUCGAGAGAGGUGAGUGGAAUUCCAAGUGUAGAGGUGAAAUUCGUAGAUAUUUGGAGGAACACCAGUGGCGAAGGCGGCUCACUGGCUCGAUACUGACGCUGAGGUGCGAAAGUGUGGGGAGCAAACAGGAUUAGAUACCCUGGUAGU